UGCGUAGGCGGAUUAAUAAGUCAGUGGUGAAAACCUUCAGCUUAACUGGAGACUUGCCAUUGAUACUGUUAGUCUUGAGUAUGGUCAAGGUAGGCGGAAUGUGUAAUGUAGCGGUGAAAUGCUUAGAUAUUACACAGAACACCGAUUGCGAAGGCAGCUUACUGGUCCAUAACUGACGCUGAGGCACGAAAGCGUGGGUAGCGAACAGGAUUAGAUACCCUGGUAGUCC
rnacentral:rRNA from 1 species